rnacentral:rRNA from 1 species
GCGCGAAAACUUUACAAUGCUGGCAACAGCGAUAAGGGAACCUCGAGUGCCAGGUUACAAGUCUGGCUGUCGAGAUGCCUAAAAAGCAUUUCAUAGCAAGGGCCGGGCAAGACCGGUGCCAGCCGCCGCGGUAACACCGGCGGCUCGAGUGGUAACCGUUAUUAUUGGGUCUAAAGGGUCUGUGGCCGGCCGGAUAAGUCUCUUGAGAAAUCUGGCAGCUUAACUGUCAGGCUUUCAGGAGAUACUGUCUGGCUCGAGGCCGGGAGAGGUGAGAGGUACUUCAGGGGUAGGGGUGAAAUCUUGUAAUCCUUGAAGGACCACCUGUGGCGAAGGCGUCUCACCAGAACGGACCUGACGGCAAGGGACGAAAGCUAGGGGCACGAACCG